UUGCACGCUGGCGGCAUGCCUUACCCAUGCCAGUCGCACGGUAACAGGUUAAGCUGACGAGUGGCGAACGGGUGAGUAAUACAUCGGAACGUGCCCAGUAGUGGGGGAUAGCCCGGCGAAAGCCGGAUUAAUACCGCAUACGACCUAAGGGUGAAAGGGGGGGAUCGCAAGACCUCUCGCUAUUGGAGCGGCCGAUGUCAGAUUAGCUAGUUGGUGGGGUAAAAGCUCACCAAGGCGACGAUCUGUAGCUGGUCUGAGAGGACGACCAGCCACACUGGGACUGAGACACGGCCCAGACUCCUACGGGAGGCAGCAGUGGGGAAUUUUGGACAAUGGGCGCAAGCCUGAUCCAGCCAUGCCGCGUGCGGGAAGAAGGCCUUCGGGUUGUAAACCGCUUUUGUCAGGGAAGAAAUCCUUUGGGUUAAUACCUCGGGGGGAUGACGGUACCUGAAGAAUAAGCACCGGCUAACUACGUG
rnacentral:rRNA from 1 species